rnacentral:miRNA from 1 species
GACAGAGUUAGGGAGGGAGUGACUAGUGACAGAGAGAGGGAUGGGGUGACUAGUGACAGUCACCCCCUCCUUCACUCGGUCACUAGUCACUCCCUCUCUCUGUCACUAGUCACUCCCUCCCUCUGUCAUUAG